CAAAACAAAGUUGCAAUAGAGACUCUAUCUUAAUAACUAGCAAGCACGAUGUGGUAAUUAGAAUAAAUAACUAACUAAUAAUACAAUUGUAGCUAGUAGUGCACAUAGAUAGUGGAGCCUAAAUCAUUAAAGUGACUCACACAAACUGCUAAAGACAAAAAAAGCAGGUUGAAAGAAAGCUAGAGAAUGAUGAUAAAAUAUUGAAUGAAAAAUGAAUCAUAAUUAAUGCUUUCUAAGUUUGGUCACAUAAGUCUGCUCCAGUCCUUAACAGGAAUGAUACUUGGGAUUCAUGUAGGAGUGUGGUAAUGCCGGUAGAGAGACCACACUGAGAGUUGUUACAAUGAAUCACCCGAGUCCCCUGACGCGCGCCUUUCGCCCACAACUCAUCAGAGGGGAACCGAUGUGUGGUGAGUAUCAGCUAUUUAAAGGUCAUGGAUGAAGCUGAUAGGGAGAAUUUGAAAAAGACCGCUGAUUCGGUUUGGCCAAUGAGGAUUGCCGGUAAGUAUGACAGCCUAUGAUAUGUGUAUACUUGAUUAACACUGUCAAGUACAUUAUGACAGGGUACAGGGAAAGUAGUUGAAAAAAUGUCGAAAAACAAAGAGGGAGGAAAAAAGAUGGGUUUGAAUGUAAAAUAACCUAGAAAGAUAAAGAAUAAUUCUAACUUUUGUAUAUAUGCCAAUAAAAUAUAUCCGAUAAAUUGAGAGUGGUUAGUAGCACUGUCCGAUCAUCAGGACAGUAUAUGAAAGAAGACCGUAUUGAUGUUCAGAGGGAAGUAGAAGACCAAUGCUGCCCUAUAGAAAUUGGACAGACUAGACGGGUACAGGUGGACAAUAAUAAAAAUGUAAAUAUAAAGAGAAUAUAG